rnacentral:rRNA from 1 species
GACGAACGCUGGCGGCGUGCCUAAUACAUGCAAGUCGAACGCAGUGGGGACGGGUGAGUAAGACGUGGGUAACCUCCCAUCAGAGGGGAUAAAACUUGGAAACAGGUGCUAAACCGAUAUUGAAGGAUGGACCCGGGGGGCAUUAGCUAGUUGGUGGGGUAAAGGCUCACCAAGGCUACGAUCCAUAGCCGACCUGAGAGGGUGAUCGGCCACACUGGGACUGAGACACGGCCCAGACUCCGACGGGAGGCAGCAGUGGGGAAUCUUCGGCAAUGGACGAAAGCCUGACCGAGCAACGCCGCGUGAAUGAAGAAGGUUUUCGGAUCGUAAAACUCUGUUGUUAGAGAAGCGGUAUCUAACCAAAAAGCCACGGCUAACUACGUGCCAGCAGCCGCGGUAAUUC